rnacentral:tRNA from 1 species
AAAAAGGUAAGCUAAAAGUUAAGCUUUUGGGCUCAUACCUCAGAUAUAGAUCGUCUCUCCUUUUUA